GUCCUAGCAGUAAACGGUGCACGUUUGGUGUAGGCGGAUUCGACCCCGCCUGUGCCGGAGCUAACGCGUUAAACGUGCCGCCUGGGAAGUACGGUCGCAAGAUUAAAACUCAAAGAAAUUGACGGGGCCCGCACAAGCGGUGGAGUAUGUGGCUUAAUUCGAUGCAACGCGAAGAACCUUACCAGGGUUUGACAUGUAUCGUGUCGGCGAAUGAAAGUCGCCUAAGCUAAUAGCAAUAUAGCGCUUUACACAGGUGCUGCAUGGCUGUCGU
rnacentral:rRNA from 1 species